rnacentral:lncRNA from 1 species
ACAAACCACAUCUUGGGAAACUAUUUACCUAUCUAGCCUUUUUACAAAAAAAAUAUUUCCUAUCUAGCCUUCUUUUAAAAAAUAUUCCCCAUCUAGCCUCAUUUUCAAAGAUUAAAAAAAAAAAAGAGAAAUUAAUAUCUUUAAUAUAUAUUAAGGGGUUAAGUGGGGAGAUUAUCUUUUUCUCUCUCCUUUCCCGAGAUCCCUUCUCACUCUCUAAUUUUUGCGUAUAAUUUAUUUCAUAUCGAUUUAUUUCAAAAUAGAAAAUUUUCAUAUGGCGCAUCAACCAAUUUUAAUCUUUUUAUAUUUUGAUGGAAAUAUUAUGCAUGCACUACAAGAAAAGAUAGUAUUGGUGGCAAAAAUAAAAUGGCGACAAAAUUUAUCGCCACUAUAUAACUACUUAUGGUGGCGAUAAAAAAAGUUGCCAUUAAUUAAUUAACUUAAAGUGGCAAUAAAAAAAAUUGCCACUAAUUAAUUAAGUUAAAAUGGCGAUAGUAUUUUUACCACUAAAUACUAUUUUGUCGCCACUAUUUUCUUAUCUAUGGUGGCGAUAAAAAAAAAUCGCCACCGAUUAAUUACUUUAAAGUGGCGAUACUAGUUUCAUCACUAAAUGACUAUUUUGUCGCCACUAUUUAGUUAUUUAUGGUGGCGAUAAAAUAAAUCACCAUUAUUUAGUUACAUAUAAUGGCAAUAAAAAGUAUUGCCACAAAUUAAUUAAAUUUAAUUUAAUUUUUAAAUUAAAUUAAAUUAAUAUUUUAAUUUAAUUUUAAAAUUAAUAAUUUAAAUUUUUAGAAAAUUAAAAAAAUUCGUAUUCCCUGAGCUGACCUGGCCUCUCCCCUGACCCCUCCACAUCCUCUCAGCUGCACUAAAGAAAAAGCCCUAGCCCCCUCGAAACCUAUUUCCUUAAUCCGCUCCCACCCUCUCCGUCUCUUCCUUGACGAGCUCUCGUCACGGCGAACUCCUCGCCGGCGAGCUCGUCACCGGCGAGCUCCUCACCUAGGGUUAGUGCUUCGCCGCUCCCGAUCCGACCGUCUCGAUCUCCCCGACGCCUCCCUCUUCUCCCAUGGCGGCGGAUCACUCCCUCGGAAGAUCCGCUGUAAGUGAUCGUGCUCUAUUUGUUCCAUUCAUGAGCUCAGAUUUGUGUUUCUACGGUUUCUUCUCAAGCAUUUGUGAUCGAAUGAGGUGUUGAUUGCUUCGUUUUCUCUGGUUUCUUUACUUCGUUGCUCUUUGAUGUAUGGAGACUCUUCGAUCGGUGGUUCUGAUUCUAUUCUUGUUUGAUUGGGUUAUUGAUCGCUUAGAAUAAGUUUUCUUAUCUCGUUACUGUGGAGUUAGGCCCUUUCAUGUCCUUUGGCAUGCUUCUUCGUUACUAAUUGUGCACUUGUCAUCCGAAGGUCUUCCCGAUUUGAAGAAUUUAUUUGAUUAUAUUGAUUUUAUCUCUUGAUUGUUUUACGGUUGAAGGUUUUCGGAGAUGUUUACAUUCUUUGUUUCAUUGAGAACUUCUGUUUGUGUACGAGAGAUUUCUCUAGCUGGUUGAGAUAACGUUUAUUGGAGUGCUAUAUCACAUUUUAUGUGUUAAUUAUUGUAUAUAUUGCAUGUCGGCAGUUCAAUUAGUGUUCCUAACUAUAUCUUGAGAGAAUAAUGCAGGAUUGGUCCUCAAUUUUCUGGCAAUUCAGCAGAAACAUUGGGAUCUUCCUCCUCCAUAUGCAAUGGAUCGUCAGUAUUAUCUGUUGUUUGUUUGUCAGAGAAAUUUAUUUCCCCAUGGUUAGAUUAGUGAAUUAGUGCAAUCAUCCGAUUCUGGACACUUAUUUUCGUGAUUUCUGAGGGUAAGAUUGCAGUACUUCACAACUUAGUUCAGUUGAAGUAGAAGUUGGCUGCUCGGAGGGUAGUUGUGUCGUCUAGUGGCUUGCAUUACAAUCCUCGAACAGUUCAAAUUUAGCAUAGAGUUUGAGUCAUAAUGUUCUAGAGCAGUCAAGGAAAUUGGCUCAGGAAGCCAUUUCAUGGGAUUAUUCGAAAAAAUGCAUUCAUAUCAGGAAAAUUCGAUAUUCACUUACAUUGAUCAGCUUGAAGAUCAUGGAGAUGCUCUGAAAGAGUGAUUUAAAGUGGCAAUCUCAGAACGUUAUCGUCUGAAAGAAUCAACUCUAUUUAAAAGAUGUCUGAAGAAAAUUGGCUUAAGUUUAUCCCCAUUUUAAUUAUUAUUAUUUUACCUUUAUUUGUUGUUUCUCUUUUUUUUUCCCUUUUUCGGCUGAGGUCUUGGUCUCAAAGUUAUUCGUUCUUUCAGUAAAUUUGUGAAGUUAACAUUAGCACGCCCUCUAGAUUGCAUAUG